UACGUAGGGUGCAAGCGUUGUCCGGAAUUAUUGGGCGUAAAGAGCUCGUAGGCGGUCUGUCGCGUCUGCUGUGAAAACUCAGGGCUUAACCCUGAGCUUGCAGUGGGUACGGGCAGACUAGAGUGCGGUAGGGGAGACUGGAAUUCCUGGUGUAGCGGUGAAAUGCGUAGAUAUCGAGAGGAACACCUGCGGCGAAGGCGGGUUGCUGGGCUGACACUGACGCUGAGGCGCGAAAGCUAGGGGAGCGAACGGG
rnacentral:rRNA from 1 species